AGCUAGUUAGUUAGUUUCGAGCUCGUAGUAGUGAGAGUCGAUCGGCAGACUCACACACACGCACACGCACACACACACGCACACUCUCCUGAAUAUAUAGUAUGUAUGUAUAUUAGCCCUACGCACACCAUCACAAAGUCGCACAGUAUCAAGUUGCUUAAGUCGCUCAAAGCGCCAUUUAAGUUGAGUAAUUAAAACAAGCGGCACAUUUGCAUGUGUCUGUAUGUGCUCACACAGAUACGAGUGAUGCCUUGCUUGUGUGUGUGUGUGUGUGUGUGCGAUUAAUUAUUAAUCAAGCCAAACAAAAAAAAUAAAAACAACACCAGCCCAAGAAACAAUAACAAACAAGUCAGAGUCAGAGUCAGAGUCAGAGUCAGUCGGACAGCUGAAGACAAUUACAAUAUUUCAACUCUCUCAGUCUCCAUCUCCAUCUCAGUCUCAGUCCCAAUCCCCAGUCCACGUCUCCGUCGCCAUCUCAGGCACAGAUCUCGGCUCGACUUUCUUUGGUCUCUCUGGCAGAGCUGUUACAUAUUUAACUUUUCGGCUGCCUGUUGCCGUCUCAACUGGUUCGGUUUAUUUUUGUCUCUGGACGGGCUCUUCAAGAGUGCAGCGUUGCUAAUGCAAAUCUAAGUUGAUUGCAAAAUGCUUAGAGACGGAGUAGAUCGGUUUUUCGAGGCGCUGCCAGACUGUUUUUCCGAGUGAUGGAUACCAGAGAUACUGGAACAAUCAUAGUAAUAGUUUCUAAGAGGAAGAUACAUUUAUUACAUUAAUUAUACAUUUAUUCUGGAUAAAAUUGCUGGCAGUUUUGGAGAAGCUUUUCAUAGGCAAUCAUAGAACCUUAUCUCUGCGAAAAACUCUGUAAAUUAGAUGGAUACCAUACCACCUACAUAGGGUUACGUUUUUCCCCUCUCAGUGGGUUCGGCACAUUAACCAUCCGCCAUGUUGGCACACACGCAAAUUUUCACCUGUCUGGCAGCACUGGCUGGCCAAAUCAAUGCAACAUGCUGCAACUGGCUGAUCUUGUGGCCGUUGUUGUUGCAACGUAAUUAAAAUAUUGCACUUGUUACUUUUCCCAGUUGCUGCCACUCGUGCCCCUUCUCUGGAUGCCUCUCGCGGGCACUCUCUCGCUCUUACAUUGUUUUUGCUGCUGCAACAACACGAAAAAAUAGCAAAAACCACAGCGAGGAGAAAAAGCACAACAAGCAUGCUGACAACAUCGACUCCAUCGGUCGCUGUGUCGUGUAUUAAAACUUGUUCAUUGGAAUUUUCUAAUAAAUCAAUAAACGCAGACAACACAUUGCUAUGGCCAGGCAACAUCAGCAACAGCAGCAUUGACACUUUCCCGCAAUUGUAAUGCAGUUUGGCGACUGGCAGUUCCGUAAAUAAAGCGAAUGGGAAGUGGACUGGACACAACAAUCAGCCAGAAACAAUCAAUCAAAGUGCCUAUAAAUCGAUGCAAUACCGUUACUCUUUGUAAAGGGCGACAGAUUCUUAACUCAAUUUAGCCAGGAUCCAAGGAUCAUCCAGAUCCUCUAUAGAAUAUUACACCAUUUAGAUGCGAUAAUAAACGAAACAAAAGAGAAAUUGUUCUGGCUGAUUUUCACCGUUUGUUCGUAUCGCCGGGGCAACAUUGUUGCCACUAAAUUUUCCAUGUUCCAGCUUGAUAUGCUAAUAAGUUCUAAUAGCUUUCGAUUUGGCCCGCUUUACAUGCGACGAGUCCGUUCGGCACAUUCUAAAUGUAAAUAAAAUGGAAAUUCCUUUGAGUGGCACCAG